rnacentral:lncRNA from 1 species
AAUUUAAUAAAUAUUUUUUGAAUUAAAUAUUUCACGUUUUAUCCAAUACACGGAAGUGUUCGCUUAGCUCUCUACCAAACUGCUUCUCCGAAACCAUUUUAACUAAAAAAAAAUCAGCAAGCAUUGAUUCCACUGGAACCCGCUUUUCUCUGCUUAUUCCCUUUCCUUUCUCUUCGUCAUUAUCACAAUUCUCUUUUCCUUCUUCCUCAACUUUGCUUCGCUUCACCCAUCUCUAUGGAGACAACUACUUCCGUACCUAACCCUCCACGCCGCUCGUUCCGCUGCUCCUUCGUCACACGCUGUUGUCGCUGCUUCUGCUGCUUCUACUCCUUCCCUUAAGCAUAUGUAUCAUCUUCUCGGGGUGCCACACCUUGAAAUCCACGUCGCCAUGGAGAGGGAAGAGCAGAGACAGUUCAAGGUUCGCAGUUUUUUGGUUUUUUUAUUUUUGAAAUUAGGGUUUUCGAUUGGGAUUCUUGUUGUUUUCGGAUUUUUCUCUCUAAUCUCUUCGAUUAGGAUGAUCUUGUUAGGGUGUUUAAUUAGCUUAGAUACUGGUCAGGUCAGGUCUUGCAAAAUUGUUGAUUGAAUAAUCGCAUGUGUUUGACCUUGUCGUAUAAUAUAAUUGUUGACUUAAUGUAAAAACAAAUUACAAAUUAACUUCAGCUAGUUUUAAUUUUUAGAUAAUUUUUUUUUCUUAAGUUCUUCAUCCAUAAGUGUUUUUUAUGUGUGUAUCCAACAGAUAAUUUUUCUAAUCAGCAAUAUAAAUUUAAUUCAAAGAGUGAACGUGCAUUUUAUUUGGAUAAUGAAGUUACUGUAUUGAAAAAAAUUCUCUCUCGUACUCUAGCGAGAUAUGGAAAUUCUCUCUCAUAGAUUUUUUUAAUUUAGUUCUUGAAAUAUUUAUUUGUUUUUAUAUAAUUUAUUUAUGAGUAUUUGACAUUUAAUACAUGAAUAUAUAAUUUUUUUUAUUUAUAUAUACGUAUGAAUGCCUUAGUUAUAUACUUAUAAGUCAAGUUUACGUAUCUAUUAUUAAAUACUCUAAGAUUUAUAUGCAAACAAAUAAUUUUUUUAAAAUAAUUAAUUUAUAUAAAAACUUCAAUCAAAAGUUUUUCAGUAAAUACACUUACUUUUAGGAAUCAAUUUGAGAAUUACUUUAUCUAUUGAAUAAUUGAUGUCGAUUUGAUGUCAAUAUGCCUUAGUCAUAUUUAUUAUUGGUGAUAAUGUAUUUUUCAGUUAAUUAUUCGGAUACAAAAUUGUUUUUAAUUAAUUUGUUUGUUAUUCCUAUAUAAUUCUUUCGGUCAUCGACAAAUAUAAUAUUUUAUUCUUGUUUUUUUUUUAUGUAUUUAAUUUUUAUGUGCUCUGCGAAUGAAAACAUUUCAAUGCCAAUACAGAUGCCAUUUUGCAAGAGGCAUUUAACCUCGAGUUUUUACCAAUUCCACCCAUCUUCCUUCUCUUGCACAUGUUGAAGAGAUGUCAAUACCAACAAAACAUUGUCACACCACUGAAGAAUCGAAUACCUCAUAUGUCCUGAUUCUCUUAGUGGCAGUAGAGGUUGAGGAUGCAAUAGCAUUUGAUGUAAAAAGUGGAUUCUAACAAUGGCUAGCAAUUUGUAAUUAAUUUCAAAUUAUGAUUUUAUUUUUAUUUUUAACUAUUUCUUGAUAAAUAUUUUUGAAAUUGUAUAUUUUUUUUUAUCAUGCAAUGAUUAUAUUUAUAUUGAUGUAAACAAUUUUAUCUUCAAUUAAAACUAUAAAUAUUAAAUGAAUUUUAUGAAGUAGAAAUAAGUGUAAGGAAUGAAAGAAAUUAAAAGGAAAGAAAAGACCUUGAGUAAAAAGAAAGAAGAAAGAAGGGAUAGAAGGUUGAAGAGAGAAGGUAUAGAAGGUUGAAGAGAUAUAUUAAGAUAAUUGAUUUCAUUGAUAAUCAUAGUUACAAGAAAAC